UGGGGAAUAUUGGACAAUGGGCGAAAUCCUGAUCCAGUCAUGCCGCGUGUGUGAAGAAGGUCUUCGGAUUGUAAAGCACUUUAAGUUGGGAGGAAGGGCAGUAAGCGAAUACCUUGCUGUUUUGACGUUACCGACAGAAUAAGCACCGGCUAACUCUGUGCCAGCAGCCGCGGUAAUACAGAGGGUGCAAGCGUUAAUCGGAAUUACUGGGCGUAAAGCGCGCGUAGGUGGUUCGUUAAGUUGAAUGUGAAAGCCCCGGGCUCAACCUAGGAACUGCAUCCAAAGCUGGCGAGCUAGAGGAGGGCAGAAGGUGGUGGAAUUUCCUGUGUAGCGGUGAAAAGCGUAGAUAUAGGAAGGAACACCAGUGGCGAAGACGACCACCUGGGCUCAUACUGACGCUGAGGUGCGAAAGCGUGGGGAGCAAACAGG
rnacentral:rRNA from 1 species